rnacentral:rRNA from 1 species
UUGAACGCUGGCGGCAUGCCUUACACAUGCAAGUCGAACGGCAGCACGGGGGCAACCCUGGUGGCGAGUGGCGAACGGGUGAGUAAUACAUCGGAACGUGCCCUGUCGUGGGGGAUAACUAGUCGAAAGAUUAGCUAAUACCGCAUACGACCUGAGGGUGAAAGCGGGGGACCGGUAACGGCCUCGCGCGAUAGGAGCGGCCGAUGUCUGAUUAGCUAGUUGGUGGGGUAAGAGCCCACCAAGGCGACGAUCAGUAGCUGGUCUGAGAGGACGAUCAGCCACACUGGGACUGAGACACGGCCCAGACUCCUACGGGAGGCAGCAGUGGGGAAUUUUGGACAAUGGGGGCAACCCUGAUCCAGCAAUGCCGCGUGUGUGAAGAAGGCCUUCGGGUUGUAAAGCACUUUUGUCCGGAAAGAAAACCCUUGCCCUAAUACGGUGGGGGGAUGACGGUACCGGAAGAAUAAGCACCGGCUAACUACGUGCCAGCAGCCGCGGUAAUACGUAGGGUGCGAGCGUUAAUCGGAAUUACUGGGCGUAAAGGCGUGCGCAGGCGGUUUGCUAAGACAGGUGUGAAAUCCCCGGGCUUAACCUGGGAACUGGCGCUUGUGACUGCAAGGACUUGAGUGUGUCAGAGGGGGGUAGAAUUCCACGUGUAGCAGUGAAAUGCGUAGAGAUGUGGAGGAAUACCGAUGGCGAAGGCAGCCCCUGGGCUAACGACUGACGCUCAUGCACGAAAGCGUGGGGAGCAAACAGGAUUAGAUACCCUGGUAGUCCACGCCCUAAACGAUGUCAACUAGUUGUUGGGGAAUCAUUCUUCAGUAACGUAGCUAACGCGUGAAGUUGACCGCCUGGGGAGUACGGUCGCAAGAUUAAAACUCAAAGGAAUUGACGGGGACCCGCACAAGCGGUGGAUGAUGUGGAUUAAUUCGAUGCAACGCGAAAAACCUUACCUACCCUUGACAUGCCACUAACCGCGCAGAGAUGAUUAGGGUGCCCGAAAGGGAACCGUGGACACAGGUGCUGCAUGGCUGUCGUCAGCUCGUGUCGUGAGAUGUUGGGUUAAGUCCCGCAACGAGCGCAACCCUUGUCCAUUAGUUGCCUACGAUUCAGUUGGCACUCUAGAUGGACUGCCGGUGACAAACCGGAGGAAGGUGGGGAUGACGUCAAGUCCUCAUGGCCCUUAUGGGUAGGGCUUCACACGUAAUACAAUGGCCGGUACAGAGGGCAGCCAACCCGCGAGGGGGAGCUAAUCCCAGAAAGCCGGUCGUAGUCCGGAUUGCAGUCUGCAACUCGACUGCAUGAAGCCGGAAUCGCUAGUAAUCGCGGAUCAGCAUGUCGCGGUGAAUACGUUCCCGGGUCUUGUACACACCGCCCGUCACACCAUGGGAGUGGGCUCCACCAGAAGUAGUUAGCCUAACCGCAAGGAGGGCGACUACCACGGUGAGAUUCAUGACUGGGGUG